CACGUAGGGUGCAAGCGUUGUCCGGAAUUAUUGGGCGUAAAGAGCUCGUAGGCGGUUUGUCGCGUCUGCUGUGAAAACCCGAGGCUCAACCUCGGGCCUGCAGUGGGUACGGGCAGACUAGAGUGCGGUAGGGGAGAUUGGAAUUCCUGGUGUAGCGGUGGAAUGCGCAGAUAUCAGGAGGAACACCGAUGGCGAAGGCAGAUCUCUGGGCCGUAACUGACGCUGAGGAGCGAAAGCAUGGGGAGCGAACAGG
rnacentral:rRNA from 1 species